rnacentral:rRNA from 1 species
UACAGAGGGUGCUAGCGUUGUUCGGAAUCAUUGGGCGUAAAGGGCGUGUAGGCGGUUUGUUAAGUCAUGUGUGAAAUCCCUCGGCUCAACCGGGGAACGACGCAUGAAACUGGCAAGCUAGAGUACCAAAGAGGGGGGUGGAAUUCCCGGUGUAGCGGUGAAAUGCGUAGAUAUCGGGAGGAACAUCGGUGGCGAAAGCGCUCUACUGGACUGCAACUGACACUCAGGGACGAAAGCUAGGGGAGCGAAUGGG